AAUGAGGCCUGCGCAAGCCCCAACCCAUUGGUGGUUUGUUGUUGCUAUCUGCCUCAUAAAGCAGAGUGGAGGGUUUGUCUUUUGGGAAGAUGAAGUGUCUUCUCUAAAAAAGCCUCCUACAUAG